AAGGGAGAGAUUAAAAUCCAGUGUACUGGAAAAUGCCUUCUACGAGUGUGAUGUCGUUGUCUGUUCGAAUUACGUUAAGAUUGCAACUUAGGGUAACAAAAAAAUCCGGUAUUCUUAUGAAAGAUGAACUAUUUUACUGUUUAUCAGACUCAGCUCAGUCGGACCAGUAUUGCAGUGACUGUAAAGUCGUGACGUAAAAUACACAUUGUGGAAAACGUAACAUAUUUAAUUCAAGCCAGAAAAUCGAUAAUACAGCACAAGGCUGUGCAAAGGACUAUCUGCACUGCGUCCGUCGCGAGAACUGAAGAUUGAAACCCGAGUGACUGGUCUUAUAGGAAAUUGUGUAUUUUCACAAAUCACUUUAGUUUAGCUUGAAUCUUGUCAAGAAACCAAACAUGAAAUGGACAUGGAAGAACUGCGAAAGUUGGAGGAGCAACCACGUGGGACUCUGCUCCGACCAUGUUUCAUGCGGUACAAUACUGCUUCUUUACUGCUCUGAAAUUUUAUUAGCUGAAUAAAGUCGACAAUACUGCAUUUUUAUCAUACAUUGUAUAUAAACAUAUCUUGUUAUGGCCUAUAAAUAUAAGCACCCAUUUUUAACAAUGUGGUACCUCCCUUCCCUUGCUACAGAUUUGGGAUACUUUAAAUUGUUGCUAAUAUACCGUAAAGGCACAUUACAUUUUUGUACCACAUAGAUGUUUAAAACAUCAAUAUUUUUGUAUGUUGUCUGAGAAGUUCACAUUAUUAAAAGUGGAGGCAAUAUCCCCAUGAGUAAAAUGUGGUUUAGCAAUUAACCUUUCGAUCAUCAUCUUCGGUGCCUAUGACUGGUGGCGUGCAUCAAUCCAAUCUGUGUCUUGUAACUGGUGGCGUGCAUCAAUCCAAUCUGUGUCUUGUAACUGGUGGCGUGCAUCAAUCCAAUCUGUGUCUUGUAACUGGUGGCGUGCAUCAA